GCGGCCGUGGCUUAGCGGAUAGAGCGUGGGCCUUCGGAGCCCAUGGUCGCGGGUUCGAAUCCUGCCGGCCGCGCCA
rnacentral:tRNA from 2 species